AGGAAAUACUUCACGCAAAGACUGUCUCCCGCUAAGCUGAAGUUAGGAAAAGCAAAGAGGACUCUCACCACGCUCGCUUCCCCUGGAUCCUCCAAGUGGAGAUCCAGGAGACUGAUCUGGAUCUCAUUUAAUCCUCACAACAACCUGGGAGCAGAUCCUUAUUACCCUGGCUGCACAACUGCAGGAGCCACCUCAGAGGUAUUCAGAACACAUUUUACUUUCUAUCAGGAAUGUCCCUGAAACCAAAUUCAGCCUUCAUAGUAGUGGUGACUUCUGAAGAACAUUCAGAAAUACAUUUUAUCAUCCUGAAAAAAUCAAUGGCGGUAGACCUCCAACAGAUCACAGACAGGCCCAAGACUGAUUACCACCAAGGUGAGAAAUACCCUGGGGGUCUCAAAACCACGUCUAGGCCAAGGCCUUUGCAACUCAGAGUGCUGUGGCCCUGUGAACAGCCCAAGAGCAGGGACAGGCAGCCAUGCUGUUUUCUCCCUGGGAGCUGGGCCAUAUUCUGUCUAGCAAGUGGGAAGACAGAGACCUUGCCAGGAGCCGAGUGGACAGGUAGGUGUCUGGCUGAUGCUUUUGAGGGGACACUCUUAAAGUGCCUCAGUGCCAAAAGAUGGCAUAACCUGGCAAAAGCUGCUAAGAGCCAGUGAAUGGUCACAGUGUAAGGCCUAGCUGUAAGGCCUAGCCCCAACAUAGCAGUCGAGAGCAUGCUGCAGCUGGGGAAAGCACUGGGCUGGCUCUUGGUUCGUGUAUGUGAACUCUUUCCUCUCAGGCUUUAUUUUAUU